CUACGGGGUGCUGCAGUGGGGAAUAUUGGACAAUGGGGGAAACCCUGAUCCAGCAAUGCCGCGUGUGUGAAGAAGGCCUGCGGGUUGUAAAGCACUUUCGGUUGGGAGGACUGCUUCUAGCACUAAUAUUGUUGGAAGUUGACGUUACCUUCAGAAGAAGCACCGGCUAACUCCGUGCCAGCAGCCGCGGUAAUACGGAGGGUGCAAGCGUUAAUCGGAAUUACUGGGCGUAAAGCGCGCGUAGGCGGCUAGAUCAGUCGGGUGUGAAAGCCCCGGGCUUAACCUGGGGACUGCAUCCGAUACUGUCUAGCUUGAGUACAGGAGAGGAGAGUGGAAUUCCACAUGUAGCGGUGAAAUGCGUAGAUAUGUGGAGGAACACCAACGGCGAAGGCAGCUUACUGGACGGGAACUGACGCUCAUGAACGAAAGCGUGGGGAGCGAAAGGGAUUAGAUACCCUGGUAGUC
rnacentral:rRNA from 1 species